UCCGGUCUGUCACCGGCAGUCUCAUUAGAGUGCCCAACUUAAAUGUAGCAACUAAUGACAAGGGUUGCGCUCGUUGCGGGACUUAACCCAACAUCUCACGACACGAGCUGACGACAGCCAUGCAGCACCUGUGUUACCGCUCCCUUUCGGGCACACCCAGCUCUCACCGGGCUUCCAGACAUGUCAAGGGUAGGUAAGGUUGUUCGCGUUGCAUCGAAUUAAUCCACAUCAUCCACCGCUUGUGCGGGUCCCCGUCAAUUCCUUUGAGUUUUAGCCUUGCGGCCGUACUCCCCAGGCGGGAUGCUUAAAGCGUUAGCUGCGGCACGGGGGGGGUCGACACCUCCCACACCUAGCAUCCACCGUUUAGGGCGUGGACUAC
rnacentral:misc_RNA from 1 species